rnacentral:rRNA from 1 species
GAGUUUGAUCCUGGCUCAGAUUGAACGCUGGCGGCGUGCCUAACACAUGCAAGUCGAGCGGUAACAGGUGUAGCAAUACAUGCUGACGAGCGGCGAACGGGUGAGUAAUGCUUCGGAAUCUGCCCAAUGGUGGGGAAUAACCAGCCGAAAGGUUGGCUAAUACCGCAUAAGCCCUACGGGGGAAAGCGGGGGAUCGUAAGACCUCGCGCCGAUGGAUGAGCCGAAGCCGGAUUAGCUAGUUGGUAGGGUAACGGCCUACCAAGGCGACGAUCCGUAGCUGGUCUGAGAGGACGACCAGCCACACUGGGACUGAGACACGGCCCAGACUCCUACGGGAGGCAGCAGUGGGGAAUAUUGGACAAUGGGGGAAACCCUGAUCCAGCGACGCCGCGUGUGUGAAGAAGGCCUGCGGGUUGUAAAGCACUUUUAGUGGGGAUGAAAAGCUCAGGGCUAACACCUCUGGGUCUUGACCUAACCCACAGAAAAAGCACCGGCUAACUCUGUGCCAGCAGCCGCGGUAAUACAGAGGGUGCGAGCGUUAAUCGGAAUUACUGGGCGUAAAGCGUGCGUAGACGGUAGCGUAAGUCGGAUGUGAAAGCCCCGGGCUCAACCUGGGAAUGGCAUUCGAGACUGCUCUGCUAGGGUGCGGAAGAGGGAAGCGGAAUUUCAGGUGUAGCGGUGAAAUGCGUAGAUAUCUGAAGGAACACCAGUGGCGAAAGCGGCUUCCUGGUCCAGCACCGACGUUCAGGCACGAAAGCGUGGGGAGCAAACAGGAUUAGAUGCCCUGGUAGUCCACGCCAUAAACGAUGAGAACUAGACGUUGAGAGGGUAAGCCUCCCAGUGUCGUAGCUAACGCGCUAAAGUUCUCCGCCUGGGGAGUACGGCCGCAAGGUUGAACUCAAAGGAAUUGACGGGGACCCGCACAAGCGGUGGAGCAUGUGGUUUAAUUCAUGCAACGCGAAAACCUUACCUGGUCUUGACAUCCUGGGGACCCUGAAGAGAUUUAGGGUGC